GUUCGGUGGUGGCUGGCCGGGAAAAUGGCGGCUUCGGGAGAGAGUGGGACUUCGGGUGGCGGAGGCAGCACAGAGGAAGCAUUUAUGACCUUCUACAGUGAGGUGAAACAAAUAGAGAAGAGAGACUCGGUUCUAACAUCCAAAAAUCAAAUUGAAAGAUUGACCCGUCCUGGUUCCUCUUACUUCAAUUUGAACCCAUUUGAGGUUCUUCAGAUAGAUCCUGAAGUCACAGAUGAAGAAAUAAAAAAGAGGUUUCGACAGUUAUCCAUAUUGGUGCAUCCUGACAAAAAUCAAGAUGAUGCUGACAGAGCACAAAAGGCUUUUGAAGCUGUGGAGAAAGCUUACAAGUUGCUACUGGAUCAGGAACAAAAGAAGAGGGCCCUGGAUGUAAUUCAGGCAGGAAAAGAAUAUGUGGAACACACUGUGAAAGAGCGAAAAAAACAAUUAAAGAAGGAAGGAAAACCUACAGUUGUAGAGGAGGAUGAUCUUGAGUUGUUUAAACAAGCGGUAUAUAAACAGACCAUGAAACUCUUUGCUGAGCUGGAAAUUAAAAGGAAAGAGAGAGAAGCCAAAGAGAUGCAUGAAAGGAAACGACAAAGGGAAGAAGAGAUUGAAGCUCAAGAAAAAGCCAAACGAGAAAGAGAGUGGCAGAAAAACUUUGAGGAAAGUCGAGAUGGUCGUGUGGACACAAUGACUCAUCCAAGCACCACUGUUGAGGAGCAAGUAACCUUUGGGCUACAUGCAAGCAGGGGACCUUUGUACAUCUGA